rnacentral:rRNA from 1 species
CUGAGAGGAUGACCAGCCACACUGGAACUGAGACACGGUCCAGACUCCUACGGGAGGCAGCAGUGGGGAAUAUUGCACAAUGGGCGCAAGCCUGAUGCAGCCAUGCCGCGUGUAUGAAGAAGGCCUUCGGGUUGUAAAGUACUUUCAGCGGGGAGGAAGGGAGUAAAGUUAAUACCUUUGCUCAUUGACGUUACCCGCAGAAGAAGCACCGGCUAACUCCGUGCCAGCAGCCGCGGUAAUACGGAGGGUGCAAGCGUUAAUCGGAAUUACUGGGCGUAAAGCGCACGCAGGCGGUUUGUUAAGUCAGAUGUGAAAUCCCCGGGCUCAACCUGGGAACUGCAUCUGAUACUGGCAAGCUUGAGUCUCGUAGAGGGGGGUAGAAUUCCAGGUGUAGCGGUGAAAUGCGUAGAGAUCUGGAGGAAUACCGG